AUUUAUAUAGUUUAAAAAAAACAUUACAUUUUCAUUGUAAAAAUAAAAAAUUUUUUUUUAUAAAUU
rnacentral:tRNA from 1 species